GCAGCUUGACCAUGGAUAAUGAGUCCUCUGACAUCAUUCUCAAGAGCAAGACUGUAUAUACGUUAAGCUAGUGACAUCAUAUACUCAGAUGUCCAAACGCUGCGUACGUGGGACAUUGCUGUGAAACCCCUCAUUAUAAAAAUUAAAAAGCCAGCAAGCUUCUGUGUGCUAUUCUUUAAGGAAGGAUUAUGAUCUCUGCAGUACAUCUUAUACUCUCACGGCUGGCUUCCUCUGUUUGUAAGUUGGGCUGCUGUUAUGAAAAGCUAAAAUUAAAAGACUUACAAGGAAUUUCCUUAUAGCCACUUUUGGAAGCAAGAUACCGAGCUAUGAAGUUUAGGACUGAACCAGUAUAUAUAAUCUUAUGCUGAUGGACAAGUAUAGGAAAUAAGUGCUGACACAGCUGCAGAAUCAGUCUUGUGCAUAACUGGUGAACAUCAGCAAGGAGCAGGAAGUUUGGAAGGCAAAAACUCUGCAUAUAGCUGAACUUAUGCUCUAAGAGGAACAAGAUGAUUUACGUGGAAGAAUGGAGAGACUUACACCUCCAUCAGAGCAAAGAGAAAUCUGGAAAAGACUGUGACCUCCAAGCCACAACUUUUUCUCUGGUCUCCUGGGGUACUGUUGCCUUGAACUGCUGCUGUUCAGGGUAGAUAGCCAAGUCACACUCCAACUUACAACAUUUUUACUGACAAGUGUGCAGGUCCUUUUUUUUCUUCUUGUAAUCUAAGACUGGUAAUAAGUUUGAUGUAGUCUCAUUUCACCCCUCAAAUAACAAGUUCAAUAUGCUGUCAAUAUCUUAUCCAGGCUUACUGCAUUCAUGUAGAUUUGGAUUUUAUAUUAAUAUUCAAUUUGAUUUAUACUGUGGUUUACCUGCCUUCCCUUUUAUGUAUAUGGUAACCUGUCAGUCCUUUGGAUGACUUUGUCAUGAAAGAAAUUAUUUUCUGAAUAAAAAUGGAUCGCUUUCCAUAAAAAGCA